UACGUAGGGGGCAAGCGUUGUCCGGAUUUAUUGGGCGUAAAGAGCGUGUAGGCGGCCAGAUAGGUCGGUUGUGAAAACUGGAGGCUCAACCUCCAGACGUCGACCGAAACCAUCUGGCUAGAGCCCGGAAGAGGAGAGUGGAAUUCCUGGUGUAGCGGUGAAAUGCGCAGAUAUCAGGAGGAACAUCAGUGGCGAAGGCGGCCCUCUGGGACGGUACUGACGCUGAGACGCGAAAGCGUGGGGAGCGAACAGG
rnacentral:rRNA from 1 species